rnacentral:piRNA from 1 species
AGGAAUUCGUUCGGUAACUUAGUGGCCC